CUGAAUAACUCAGUUGAUCGCAUGGUCCUUGCACCGGCGACGUAUCUUUCAAGUGUCUGCCUUAUCAACUUUCGAUGGUAGUUUAUAUGACUACCAUGGUUGUAACGGGUAACGGAGAAUAAGGGUUCGACUCCGGAGAGGGAGCCUGAGAAACGGCUACCACAUCCAAGGAAGGCAGCAGGCGCGCAAAUUACCCACUCUCAGCUCGAGGAGGUAGUGACGAAAAAUAACGAGACGGUUCUCUAUGAGGUCCGUCAUCGGAAUGGGUACAAUUUAAACCCUUUAACGAGGAUCUAUUGGAGGGCAAAGUCUGGUGCCAGCAGCCGCGGGUAAUUCCAGCUCCCAAUAGCGUAUAUUAAAGUUGUUUGCGGGUUAAAAAA
rnacentral:rRNA from 1 species